UACGGAGGGAGCUAGCGUUGUUCGGAAUUACUGGGCGUAAAGCGCACGUAGGCGGCUACUCAAGUCAGAGGUGAAAGCCCGGGGCUCAACCCCGGAACUGCCUUUGAAACUAGGUGGCUAGAAUCCUGGAGAGGUCAGUGGAAUUCCGAGUGUAGAGGUGAAAUUCGUAGAUAUUCGGAAGAACACCAGUGGCGAAGGCGACUGACUGGACAGGUAUUGACGCUGAGGUGCGAAAGCGUGGGGAGCAAACAGG
rnacentral:rRNA from 1 species